UGCCUGUAAGACUGGGAUAACUCCGGGAAACCGGAGCUAAUACCGGAUAGUUCCUUGAACCGCAUGGUUCAAGGAUGAAAGACGGUUUCGGCUGUCACUUACAGAUGGACCCGCGGCGCAUUAGCUAGUUGGUGGGGUAAUGGCUCACCAAGGCGACGAUGCGUAGCCGACCUGAGAGGGUGAUCGGCCACACUGGGACUGAGACACGGCCCAGACUCCUACGGGAGGCAGCAGUAGGGAAUCUUCCGCAAUGGACGAAAGUCUGACGGAGCAACGCCGCGUGAGUGAUGAAGGUUUUCGGAUCGUAAAGCUCUGUUGUUAGGGAAGAACAAGUGCGAGAGUAACUGCUCGCACCUUGACGGUACCUAACCAGAAAGCCACGGCUAACUACGUGCCAGCAGCCGCGGUAAUACGUAGGUGGCAAGCGUUGUCCGGAAUUAUUGGGCGUAAAGGGCUCGCAGGCGGUUUCUUAAGUCUGAUGUGAAAGCCCCCGGCUCAACCGGGGAGGGUCAUUGGAAACUGGGAAACUUGAGUGCAGAAGAGGAGAGUGGAAUUCCACGUGUAGCGGUGAAAUGCGUAGAGAUGUGGAGGAACACCAGUGGCGAAGGCGACUCUCUGGUCUGUAACUGACGCUGAGGAGCGAAAGCGUGGGGAGCGAACAGGAUUAGAUACCCUGGUAGUCCACGCCGUAAACGAUGAGUGCUAAGUGUUAGGGGGUUUCCGCCCCUUAGUGCUGCAGCUAACGCAUUAAGCACUCCGCCUGGGGAGUACGGUCGCAAGACUGAAACUCAAAGGAAUUGACGGGGGCCCGCACAAGCGGUGGAGCAUGUGGUUUAAUUCGAAGCAACGCGAAGAACCUUACCAGGUCUUGACAUCCUCUGACAACCCUAGAGAUAGGGCUUUCCCUUCGGGGACAGAGUGACAGGUGGUGCAUGGUUGUCGUCAGCUCGUGUCGUGAGAUGUUGGGUUAAGUCCCGCAACGAGCGCAACCCUUGAUCUUAGUUGCCAGCAUUUAGUUGGGCACUCUAAGGUGACUGCCGGUGACAAACCGGAGGAAGGUGGGGAUGACGUCAAAUCAUCAUGCCCCUUAUGACCUGGGCUACACACGUGCUACAAUGGACAGAACAAAGGGCUGCGAGACCGCAAGGUUUAGCCAAUCCCAUAAAUCUGUUCUCAGUUCGGAUCGCAGUCUGCAACUAANUCNUAACAAGGUAGAAUUAANNCGUAUCACGGUAGAGCAUGACACGGUCACUGUAAGUCGUAACAAGGUAGCCGUAAGUCGUAACAAGGU
rnacentral:rRNA from 1 species